GCGAUCGGAGACCCCA
rnacentral:rRNA from 1 species